rfam:TPA: Bos taurus chromosome 28, whole genome shotgun sequence.
UGGCUCAGAGGUUAAAGCGUCUGCCUCUAAUGCAGGAGACCUGGGUUCGAUCCCUG